GUCUUUUUGGUGGAAUUAUAUAAAAAGUCUGACCUGCCCGGUGAAUUUAUUAAACGGCCGCGGUACCUUGACCGUGCAAAGGUAGCAUAAUCGAUUGUCUUAUAAUUGGAGACUGGAAUGAAUGGUUUAACGAAAUUAAAGCUGUCUUAUCUGUAUUUUUUAGAAAUUGGCUUUUAGAUGAAGAGAUUUAGAUUUUAUUAGAGGACAAGAAGACCCUAUUGAGCUUAAAAUAAGUUUUUGGAUAUUAUUAUUAUAAAGAUUAAAGUCUAAUAUACUUUUUAGUUGGGGCGACUAAGGAAUAAUUAAAGCUUCCUUAAAGUAGGAAAUUAAUAUAUUUUGAGCCAGUAGGACUGAUUUAUAGAUAUAGUUACCAUAGGGAUAACAGCAUAAUCUUUUUUGAGAGUUCUAAUCGAAAAAAGGGGUUGUGACCUCGAUGUUGGACUAAAAUAUCCUAGAAAUGCAGCAGUUUUUAAGGGUUGGUCUGUUCGACCAUUAAAAUUUUACAUGAUCUGAGUUCAGACCGGCGUAAGCCAGGUCAGUUUCUAUCCUUAAUUAGCGUCUGAUUUUAGUACGAAAGGAUUAAAUUAGAAAAAGUUGUUUGAUAAGUUGAAUUUAUAUAAUUUUUAGGUUAAGUAUAUU
rnacentral:rRNA from 1 species